rnacentral:rRNA from 1 species
ACGCUCGACACCUACGGGAGGCAGCAGUUGGGAAUAUUGGACAAUGGAGGGAAAACCUCUGAUCCAGUGACGCCGCGUGAAGGAAGAAGGUUCUUCGGAUUGUAAACUUAUUUUGUCAGGGAAGAAAAAUGACUGUACCUGAAGAAAAGCACCGGCUAACUACGUGCCCGCAGCCGCGGUAAUCUGAGCGGGCUGGCAAGGC